rnacentral:rRNA from 1 species
UACGUAGGGUGCAAGCGUUAAUCGGAAUACUGGGCGUAAAGCGUGCGCAGGCGGUGAUGUAAGACAGGUGUGAAAUCCCCCGGGCUUAACCUGGGAACUGCAUUUGUGACUGCAUCGCUGGAGUGCGGCAGAGGGGGAUGGAAUUCCGCGUGUAGCAGUGAAAUGCGUAGAUAUGCGGAGGAACACCGAUGGCGAAGGCAAUCCCCUGGGCCUGCACUGACGCUCAUGCACGAA